rnacentral:rRNA from 1 species
CUUUAAUAGAAAAUAAUUAUUAGUAAAAUUUGCUCAAUGAUAUUUAAAUAGCCGCAGAUUUUUCUGUGCUAAGGUAGCAUAAUCAUUUGCCUAUUAAUUAUAGGCUAGAAUGAAAGAUUUAACAUGAAAAAUUCUAUACUCAUUCUCACUUACUUUAAAUUCCCUUAUUAGUAAAAAAGCUAAUAUUAAAUAGGGGGACGACAAGCCCCUGUCGAACUUCACUUCUAGUUAACUGGGGCGGUAAAAAACUAUUUYUUUUUAUACAUUUACAUCAAAACUUAUAUAUUAAAUUAAACAAGUUACCGCAGGGAUAACAGCAUAAUUCUUUUCCAAAGACCUUAUAAAAAAAAGAGAUUGUGACCUCGAUGUUGAAUAUUUUCCCUUUUAAGAGCAAAUUCUUAAAAAGGAAGUCUGUUCGACUUUUAAAAAUUUACA